UUAAAUUGAAGAGUUUGAUCAUGGCUCAGAUUGAACGCUGGCGGCAGGCCUAACACAUGCAAGUCGAACGGUAACAGGAAACAGCUUGCUGUUUCGCUGACGAGUGGCGGACGGGUGAGUAAUGUCUGGGAAACUGCCUGAUGGAGGGGGAUAACUACUGGAAACGGUAGCUAAUACCGCAUAACGUCGCAAGACCAAAGAGGGGGACCCUCGGGCCUC
rnacentral:rRNA from 1 species